UUUCUCGCAGCUGUACGUGUUAAGAAUUGCCAGUCAGCUGCGCGAAACAUUCUUGGGUCAACUGCGCUGGCUGGACUGGAUGGAUAAAGAAACCAAGCAUGUUGCUAUGAGAAAGGUUAAAUCCAUGAAAAUUGAAAUUUCUGACGGAGCCACAUCUCAAGACAAGGUGGUUCAACUGUGGCAUGACAACAUGUCCUUUGUUGAAAUAGAGCAGAGGCUAAGGCAAAACAUGAAAGCGGAAUCAAUUGAAUUGCUGCUCAAAAAUGAGACAACCGACGACUG
rnacentral:lncRNA from 1 species